GCCGAUGUGGUGGAAUUGGUAGACACGCAGUGUUCAGAGCGCUGUGUCUUAAUAGACGUGAGAGUUCGAGUCUCUCCAUCGGCA
rnacentral:tRNA from 1 species